rnacentral:lncRNA from 1 species
AUGAAUGUCAAAGAACGCAGAAACACAGCGUCUCCUUCUCACACCUCUUCCAACCCUGUGACGGCUACUUCUAUUUGCAGUGACUCCGUGACAAAGUCCACUCAGGUGAGAGUGCGGCCACCUCAACAGAACAAUGAGGGCCUGCACGAAGCAGAGCCAGCCAGGAAGGCCCCAGGAACCAUCUGUCACACGGUACAAACAUGGGACUUUAUCAGUCAUAAAACAGUUAAUCAGCUCAUCUCAAUUGGUUUUCUAGUCAAAAUGGUGAAAACCGAACUAUCACGUGGCCCAUGGUGGGGCCCUGGUGCACUAACACAGAACAGGACUGGGAGUGGGGAAGAAGGCGCCUACUGGUGCAGCUCGUGGGCUCUGAAUCACCCACAAGGACAUCAGCGCCCCACGGCUGACAGCUGAGUCUGCUUUAAAUUACACUUUGAGUUCCUCUGGCCUUAACAUUCAGUAAUUACAGGAUACUGAAGUGAGUCCAACUUUAUGUAAAAGUCAGCAUCCACAGCUUCAAAAAUAGAAAAAACAUUUUAAAUAUUAAAAGAAAACUGCUCAGUUUACUUAGGUAUCAGAAGUAUAAAAUGCAACCUCCACGCAUUGCCUACGGCACUAAUUAGUUCCUUAGAGGGGCUCUGCUGAAAUGGCCGCUGUUCUAAUCAGCAGAGAUUUAAUCCACUAUGCUCCGCUCCAAAGCAAGUGCUGGUCCUAAGCAGCUCUGAUUUCUAUGGGAUUUAUCCUUUCAGUUAUUCCAAGCCUUCCUCCUCCAAUCUAAUUCAAGAGUCAGAUAAACCUGUGUUCUAAUCCUACUUUUCUAUUUGCUCACAUAAUCAUUCUGGACGAAAAAAAGCUCUGAAGUUAUGGGGUCGUUGUACAAAUUACAUAAGAUGUUAACUACAAGCACAAAAGUAUCUAACAAAUCACUCAAUAAAUACUUGUUUCGUUUUUUUGUCUGAGAAUCUGAUCUUUUCCAUCUUGCCCUGCUGGGGUGUCCCUCUCCUCUGCCCCUUGUAGCAGUCACUUGCAGUAGGUCCUGCAGGCACUGGAGGUGAGCGUGCCCAACCCCUGUACCCUGCCAUCCAUCACCACAGAACCCUGCCCCCUCUCUUGUCUCCCAAUGACAGCAGCGAUUGCAGUUAGUUUUAUUUAGUGGCUACUACAUGUCAAGCAGAGAACCACAGGGUUAGGUGGUACUUCAUCUAAACCUCACAAAGACAAAUCUCCAUCUUAGGCUUUGCUGUUGUUUUUUACUUUUUACUAUAGUUUUAAAAAAUAUCAACUUGUUCACUGCACCAUUUUAACCAUCGGAAGUGUACACAACAGUGUGAACUAUAUGCACACUAUUGUGCAACACAUCCCAGAACUUUCUAAGAUCUUGCAAAACAGAAACCCUA